CCUACGGGUGGCAGCAGUCGAGAAUCAUUCACAAUGGGGGAAACCCUGAUGGUGCGACGCCGCGUGGGGGAAUGAAGGUCUUCGGAUUAUAAACCCCUGUCAUGUGGGAGCAAAUUAAAAAGAUAGUACCACAAGAGGAAGAGACGGCUAACUCUGUGCCAGCAGCCGCGGUAAUACAGAGGUCUCAAGCGUUGUUCGGAAUCACUGGGCGUAAGGCGUGCGUAGGCUGUUUCGUAAGUCGUGUGUGAAAGGCGCGGGCUCAACCCGCGGACGGCACAUGAUACUGCGAGACUAGAGUAAUGGAGGGGGAACCGGAAUUCUCGGUGUAGCAGUGAAAUGCGUAGAUAUCGAGAGGAACACUCGUGGCGAAGGCGGGUUCCUGGACAUUAACUGACGCUGAGGCACGAAGGCCAGGGGAGCGAAAGGGAUUAGAUACCCUAGUAGUC
rnacentral:rRNA from 1 species